UUUAAAUGUAUUUUUUUUUCUAAAUAAUUAAUAGGUAUGUUCUUUAAAAUUAAAAAUUUUGGCGGUAUUUUAGUCUUUUCAGAGGAACCUGUUCUAUAAGUGAUAAUCCACGAUUAAUUAUACUUAUUUUAGAAGUUUGUAUAUCGUCGUAGUUGAAUAUUUUAAUAGAAUAUAAUAUUCAAGAUUUUUAAUUAAAAAUUAAAUCAGAUCAAGAUGCAGCUAAUAAAUAAGGAGAAAUGGGUUACAAUAAAUUUAUUUAAAUGGUUUUAUUAAUUAAAAUUGAUAAAUAAAGUGGAUUUGAAAGUAAUUAAAAUUAGUUUAUUUUAAUGAUUUAGCUCUAAAAUAUGU
rnacentral:rRNA from 1 species